rnacentral:sRNA from 1 species
AGAUAAAAAGAGACCGAAUACGAUUCCUGUAUUCGGUCCAGGGAAAUGGCUCUUGGGAGAGAGCCGUGCGCUAAAAGUUGGCAUUAAUGCAGGCUAAAGUCGCCUUGCCCUUUAAGAAUAGAUGAGCAUGCCAGGUUUUCCAGUCC